rnacentral:tRNA from 1 species
GGGCGGUUAGCUCAGCGGUAGAGCACUACGUUGACAUCGUAGUGGCCACAGGUUCGAUCCCUGUACCGCCCACCA